GAACCGAUACCGGGGACGGGCUGCCAGGCCCGUGGGGAUAACCUGUUAACGCAGGCGGCUGCACAGAGUGCAAAACCGACGCCCCGUAAUACCUCAACCUCUGCCCGCUCCGGCGCACAGGUAUCGUUC
rnacentral:sRNA from 1 species